UACGAAGGGGGCUAGCGUUGCUCGGAAUCACUGGGCGUAAAGCGCACGUAGGCGGAUUGUUAAGUCAGGGGUGAAAUCCUGGAGCUCAACUCCAGAACUGCCUUUGAUACUGGCGAUCUUGAGUCCGGGAGAGGUGAGUGGAACUGCGAGUGUAGAGGUGAAAUUCGUAGAUAUUCGCAAGAACACCAGUGGCGAAGGCGGCUCACUGGUCCGGUACUGACGCUGAUGUGCGAAAGCGUGGGGAGCAAACAGG
rnacentral:rRNA from 1 species